rnacentral:rRNA from 1 species
AACGCUGGCGGCAGGCCUAACACAUGCAAGUCGAACGGAAACAUGUCUAGCUUGCUAGAUGAUGUCGAGUGGCGGACGGGUGAGUAAUGCUUGGGAACUUGCCUUUGCGAGGGGGAUAACAGUUGGAAACGACUGCUAAUACCGCAUAAUGUCUUCGGACCAAACGGGGCUUCGGCUCCGGCGCAAAGAGAGGCCCAAGUGAGAUUAGCUAGUUGGUGAGGUAAAGGCUCACCAAGGCAACGAUCUCUAGCUGUUCUGAGAGGAAGAUCAGCCACACUGGGACUGAGACACGGCCCAGACUCC